AAUCAGAAUACGUUUCUUACACAGGAACAGGAAACAGAGUGCCUUUCUCCCAGCUUGGAACUGGACUGCGUGUAACAAUUGUGUGUUGCCAGGAGAGAUCUAAGGCAAGAUUGAUCACUGGAAGGGAAAGAGAAGGUCUUCUUUGAGAGACAGGACCUUGCCCAAGCAGCACAAUCAGAGCCAGCCUGUACAGCAAGAGACCUGGAGAUGAGUCAAUACCUAUGGCAGGAGGUCUCUGAGAGGAGGAGAGGGCAGCAAAUAGUAAG